CUGCAGCUAAGCGUCUGAUGGCUUUGUUAGUACCAUCGUAGGAGACAAUAUGGGAAUCCCGGGUGCUGUAGGCUAUUUUU